rnacentral:rRNA from 1 species
UACAGAGGUCUCAAGCGUUGUUCGGAUUCAUUGGGCGUAAAGGGUGCGUAGGUGGCGGGGUAAGUCAGGUGUGAAAUCUCGGAGCUCAACUCCGAAACUGCACUUGAUACUGCCUUGCUGGAGUACUGGAGAGGAGAUUGGAAUUACGGUGUAGCAGUGAAAUGCGUAGAUAUCGUAAGGAAGACCAGUGGCGAAGGCGAAUCUCUGGACAGUUACUGACACUGAGGCACGAAGGCCAGGGGAGCAAACGGG